UACGAAGGGGGCUAGCGUUGCUCGGAAUUACUGGGCGUAAAGCGCACGUAGGCGGCUUCUUAAGUCGGUGGUGAAAUCCUGGAGCUCAACUCCAGAACUGCCUUCGAUACUGGGAAGCUUGAGUCCGGGAGAGGUGAGUGGAACUGCGAGUGUAGAGGUGAAAUUCGUAGAUAUUCGCAAGAACACCAGUGGCGAAGGCGGCCUUCUGGACAGUGACUGACGCUGAGACGCGAAAGCGUGGGGAGCAAACAGG
rnacentral:rRNA from 1 species